UUGUGGGUGGAUUAGUGGCGAACGGGUGAGUAACACGUGAGUAACCUGCCCUUGACUCUGGGAUAAGCCUGGGAAACUGGGUCUAAUACCGGAUAUGACCUUCCAUCGCAUGGUGGUUGGUGGAAAGCUUUUGUGGUUUUGGAUGGACUCGCGGCCUAUCAGCUUGUUGGUGGGGUAAUGGCCUACCAAGGCGACGACGGGUAGCCGGCCUGAGAGGGUGACCGGCCACACUGGGACUGAGACACGGCCCAGACUCCUACGGGAGGCAGCAGUGGGGAAUAUUGCACAAUGGGCGCAAGCCUGAUGCAGCGACGCCGCGUGAGGGAUGACGGCCUUCGGGUUGUAAACCUCUUUCAGUAGGGAAGAAGCGUAAGUGACGGUACCUGCAGAAAAAACGCCGGCUAACUACGUGCCAGCAGCCGCGGUAAUACGUAGGGCGCACGCGUUAUCCGGAAUUAUUGGGCGUAAAGAGCUCGUAGGCGGUUUGUCGCGUCUGCCGUGAAAGUCCGGGGCUCAACUCCGGAUCUGCGGUGGGUACGGGCAGACUAUAGUGAUGUAGGGGAGACUGGAAUUCCUGGUGUAGCGGUGAAAUGCGCAGAUAUCAGGAGGAACACCGAUGGCGAAGGCAGGUCUCUGGGCAUUAACUGACGCUGAGGAGCGAAAGCAUGGGGAGCGAACAGGAUUAGAUACCCUGGUAGUCCAUGCGCGUAAACGUUGGGCACUAUGUGUGGGGGGGACAUUCCACGUUUUCCG
rnacentral:rRNA from 1 species